UACGUAGGGGGCAAGCGUUGUCCGGAAUUAUUGGGCGUAAAGAGCGUGUAGGCGGUCCGGUAAGUCAGCUGUGAAAGUCAAGGGCUCAACCCUUGAAUGCCGGUUGAUACUGUCGGGCUAGAGUCCGGAAGAGGCGAGUGGAAUUCCCGGUGUAGCGGUGAAAUGCGCAGAUAUCGGGAGGAAUACCGGUGGCGAAGGCGGCUCCCUGGACCGGUACUGACGCUGAGGCGCGAAAGCGUGGGGAGCAAACAGG
rnacentral:rRNA from 1 species